rnacentral:lncRNA from 1 species
UACCAAUUGUUGGAAAUCCAGCACUUGCCCCGGUACCGGAUAUUGAGAAUCUGCAAUCCGCUCCAAUACCGACUCCUGUUGAUUUGGUAUCGGUUGUUGGGAUUCUGCAACAGAAGUGUCAAAUCGAAUUUUUACCAUAAACCCGUCUCCUCGGCAAAAACUGAUACAAUCAUAAAAAAGAUAAAACAAUUAAACAAAAAAUAUGUAGGUAAAAUAAGAUUUAUUAAAUAAUAGAAGAUUACACAUGAUUUUUCUUCUGUAAUAGAGUAGUUAAACCUGAGCCCUCUUUUUGAAUCUCUCAUACCUUUCUCUCAUCUUCUAUAAACUCAGAAGACAUUUCUCUAAUCCUGUGCACCUGUGCACAAGGUAUACCAAUGACCAACGGCUACGAAAGCCACUCACGUCCUUUUGCACCCAUACAUUAGGUGCAUUCAAAAUCAUGACAACUUUGGCCAUGCCAUAUGGGUGUGGCUAAUCUGUACCAUCAUCACCAUAAUAAUAGCACAUAUGGUAUAUUUAUAACUUACAUUGAAAGCUACCCAAAUCCUAAUCCAAUUAGAUUUCUACUCUAAUUAAUAUUUAAAUCUUAAUUUAUCUUCAAUAUUUUUAAAUAUUAAUCCUAAUCCAAUUAGGAUUCAAUUACUAAUCUAACCAAAUCUUAGCACAUAGUGCCUAUGUGCUUUAUAUUUGCAUGAAAUUAAGUUAAAAAAGAAGUUAUAAAAAUGUGAUUAUGAGAUUAUUUGUAUGUGCAUGUUUUUAUUUAUGAUCAGUAUGU